UAAAAAACAAAACAAAACAAAACACAUUGUUGAAAUCAACCCUGCUAAUAUAUAUCUAAUGUGUACCUGAUGACGCUCUCCAUGGGAAAGCAGAAAAUUCUAGAAGCACCAUUUUCCUUUUAAAGAUGCUGGAAGGAACCUACUCUGCAACCACUAGAGUCUUUUCCUGCCUGAGACCUAAAUGGUACCUAAAAAGCAAAGCCCACUAGGUGAUUUACACAAGAGCUUUGUGAGCGAAUAAUACAUUUCCGUCUUCUGAGAUGGCAAAUGCUGUCUCCCUGCCCAGAGGAACUCCAUCUUCACUUCUAAACAUGCCUUGCAGGGGCUCACAAUAAAAUGCUGCCCCUCCGUGUGCGAGCUGCAUUGCUCUGCUCCUGGAGGGUUAUGGAAACGGAGACGAGAAACGCGGUGUAAGGUUACAGCAUCUGGAUAAAGCCCAGCAAGCUCUUGACGGUUUAUUUUCAGGUCACUGUGUGCGCCUCUUAAUGAUUUAUUUUCAUUUUACCUGUGUGUGCCGAGGGGUUGCCCAGUGAGAUGGACAUUUGCAGGUGGUAGGGGCCACCCAGUGUGGGUGCUGGGAACUGUGCUUGGUCCCUGUGUAGCAGCAGCCAACGUUAACUGCUGAGCCAUUUCUCCGGCCUCCCCUUCCGUGUGUGCUUUUAAAAAACAUUGUUUUUGAAAUAGCUUUAGUUUGGGACGAGGGUUGUAGCCAUUUAUCUGGCACGUACGAGGCCCUGAGUUCCAGCCCCCUUCACUGGAGCGAGGAAGGUGCAUGUUCACUUUUUUAGUUAAUCAACUCAGAGGAAGAUGGAGAAGAAAUCAAUAUAAAGGUUACCCUCCUGCCACCCUCGGUGAAUACCAUUCCAGCUCUCCCCGGGAUAGAAAGGAACUAUUUUGUAAACCUGGACAUCAACUGAAACAAGAAAACAAAUUGUAAAGGGAACCACAGGGUUACCCCACCCCAAUCUGUUAGAGAAAAGAGGAACUUAGGGGGCUGUAAAUGGCCUUUCUGGUCCCCGCCUUUGAUGCGAUGAGUGACCUGAUAAGGACAUAGUUGGGAUUCUAAGGCAGAGGCUCUGCUGAUGCUGGUCCUACCUGACUCUGGGGUGGAAGGCAGAUGGAGGAGCAGUUUGCUUGCCCCGGGGACUUUUCGACAGAGGGGUUCACAGAAUGAGAACAGAGGCCAUCACAUGAUCUGGACACUAGUCUCAGCCUUGAUGGGGGGGGGGCGAGGUAGGGGACAGAAGGAAGCAGUGUGCCAUUGGCCUGCGAGCUCUUAAAUAACCUCACAGCUUCUCCAGGACUUUAAGGGUUCUGCCCUUGGAAGCUGAGCCUAGAGAUGGAAUCCUGCUUGUUGUGCAAACCCCGGGGGCCUUUCACCAGGCGGUGAUGCUGCCGUGCCGACCAGGGUAGCUGGUUUAUCACUCAUCAUCCAGGGGGGUCAAGGAUGCUCUGAGACCAGGCAGGAUGCAGGGCCAUAUCUCCCCGUACAUGGCGCCUUUUUAAGUGUGAGGGUGUUUAGACUUCUACCAUCCAAAGAGAAAGCGCUCAGAGGCAGGCCAAGCGUCUCCUUAGAGACGGUGCUGUAUCAAGGGCUCUAGCCAAGGCAGAGGUUAACGUUUACCGUCGCUGGCUAAGAGCAAACCAAGCCAUUGGUAGUUCAUAGUUUCGAACACGUGUGUCCCACUAGUCCAUCGGUUUCACACACAACCGUCUGUGUAGCACUCACGACUCGACAAGGCUUGCAUCAGUACCACCGUCACACUACUCCGAGCCAGCGUGCAUGGCUCCAAAGGCUGAUCUGUGAAAAGCGCCUGCUUCCUUCACUUGCCACAGGAUCAGGUGGCAGGUGAGUCCCACCCUCUAAAAAGCUUGAAGGAGUUGUCCAAGGGCAGUUGUGGCCACAGAGAAGAGAGACCAUCAUUCCGCGCGCACGCGCGCUGUUACGAGAAGCCUCCAAGGUGACUGUGGCAGCACACCAACCCUCAGGACCACGGCUCCAUCCACCACGUCACUCCGUGGGCUGACGCCUGACUCGGGUCUGGUGGCGUUUCCUUCUCUCCAAGCUGGUUGCCACUUUGAGCUGAAUCCACAGCGAAGCCAGGCUCCCUGGGAGGUUGGUAGGUGGUCUGAGGCUCAUCUUAAUGACCCAUUCAUUGAGCUUCUUUGGAAGCCAUUGGCAAAUAAAGCCCCGGGGUCACAAAGAGUUAACGCACUAGGGCCAGGACAGCACAGCUUGCAGAGGUCAGCCUUGCGUUCAUCAAGAGGGACCAGGAAAAAAGCACCUGUUAUGCAACAAACCCCACCGCUGGCUGGAAAUCCGGACUGGAGCGAAUGACGCCUGUUUAAGAACGAAAUACUACACCUGUGCCAGUUGAUUGCCUGACUCUUCAAGGACCCCCCCCACGCCCCCAAAUGAAAUAAAGAAAGGCCACCUUCAUCAGGGAGGCCUCGGUGACCCUGGGAGGGGUGGGGGGCGGGGGAGCCAGGCGGAACAAUGACGGAGAGGCCGCCAGGCCACCUGCCCAGGAGGCGGGACCCGAGUCAAUAAAGCCACUUAAGCAAACA